rnacentral:RNase_P_RNA from 1 species
CGUGCCGGCCGGAUCACCGCGCUGUAAAUGCAGUGAGGAAAGUCCGAACACCAUAGAGCACUGUGCUUCCUAACAGGAAGGCAUCCUUUCGGAUGACGGCAAGUGCAACAGAAAGCAAACCUGCUAUGCGUUUCAACGCGUAGCGAUGGGUGAAAUGGUGGUGUAAGAGACCACCGGCGUCCCGAGUGAUCGGGGCGGCCAGGCAAACCCCACAGGGUGCAAAGCCAAGCAGCAUCUUCCGGAUUCGUCCGGUGCGGAUUGCUCGUCCGAUGAUGCGGGUAGGCUGCUAGAGGUCGUCGGUGACGGCGGUCCCAGAUAAAUGGUGGUCCCGGUUGGGUCCUGCGACAACCCGGCCAGACAGAAUUCGGCUUACAGGCCGGCACGUUGU